rnacentral:rRNA from 1 species
CCUACGGGAGGCAGCAGUGAGGAAUAUUGGUCAAUGGGCUUACGCCUGAACCAGCCAAGUCGCGUGAGGGAAGACUGCCCUAUGGGUUGUAAACCUCUUUUGUCAGGGAGCAACGCCGGCUACGUGUAGCCUGAUUGCGAGUACCUGUAGAUAAAGCAUCGGCUAACUCCGUGCCAGCAGCCGCGGUAAUCCGAAGGAUGCGACCGUAAUCCGGAUUUUUUGGGUUUAAAGGGUGCGUGGGCGGAAUGCCAAGUCAGCGGUAAAAUCGCGGGGCUAAACCUCGCUCUGCCGUUGAAACUGGCGUGCCUGAGUGGGCGAGAGGUAGGCGGAAUGCGUGGUGUAGCGGUGAAAUGCAUAGAUAUCACGAAGAACUCCGAUUGCGAAGGCAGCAUACCGGCGCCCAACUGACGCUGAAGCACGAAAGCGUGGGUAUCGAACAGGAUUAGAUACCCCAGUAGUC